CAACAGCUCAAAUUUGAAAUCUGGCUCUUUCAGGGUCCGAGUUGUAAUUUGCAGAGGGCGCUUUGGCGUUGGCAGCGGUCCAAGUUCUUUGGAACAGGACGUCACAGAGGGUGAGAAUCCCGUACGUGGUCGCUAGCCUUCGCCGUGUAAAGCCCCUUCGACGAGUCGAGUUGUUUGGGAAUGCAGCUCUAAAUGGGAGGUAAAUUUCUUCUAAAGCUAAAUACCGGCCAGAGACCGAUAGCGCACAAGUAGAGUGAUCGAAAGAUGAAAAGCACUUUGGAAAGAGAGUCAAAUAGCACGUGAAAUUGUUGAAAGGGAAGCGCUUGCAGCCAGACUUGCCUGUAGUUGCUUAUCUGGACUUUUGUCCGGUGCACUCUUCUGCGGGCAGGCCAGCAUCAGUUUGGGCGGUUGGAUAAAGGUCUCUGUCAUGUACCUCCUUUCGGGGAGGCCUUAUAGGGGAGACGACAUGCAACCAGCCUGGACUGAGGUCCGCGCAUCUGCUAGGAUGCUGGCGUAAUGGCUGUAAGCGGCCCGUCUUGAAACACGGACCAAGGAGUCUAACAUCUAUGCGAGUGUUUGGGUGUCAAGCCCAGACGCGUAAUGAAAGUGAACGGAGGUGGGAACCCUUUGGGUGCACCAUCGACCGAUCCUGAUGUCUUCGGAUGGAUUUGAGUAAGAGCAUGGCUGUUGGGACCCGAAAGAUGGUGAACUAUGCUUGAAUAGGGUGAAGCCAGAGGAAACUCUGGUGGAGGCUCGCAGCGGUUCUGACGUGCAAAUCGAUCGUCAAAUUUGGGCAUAGGGGCGAAAGACUAAUCGAACUAUCUAGUAGCUGGUUCCUGCCGAAGUUUCCCUCAGGAUAGCAGUAACGUAUUCAGUUUUAUGAGGUAAAGCGAAUGAUUAGAGGCCUGGGGGUUGAAACAACCUUCACCUAUUCUCAAACUUUAAAUAUGUAAGAAGUCCUUGUUACUUGAUUGAACGUGGACACUUGAAUGUACCGUUACUAGUGGGCCAUUUUUGGUAAGCAGAACUGGCGAUGCGGGAUGAACCGAACGCGGGGUUAAGGUGCCAGAAUAUACGCUCAUCAGACACCACAAAAGGUGUUAGUUCAUCUAGACAGCAGGACGGUGGCCAUGGAAGUCGGAAUCCGCUAAGGAGUGUGUAACAACUCACCUGCCGAAUGAACUAGCCCUGAAAAUGGAUGGCGCUCAAGCGUAUUACCCAUACCCCGCCGCCGGGGCAGAAUUUAUGCCCCGGCGAGUAGGCAGGCGUG
rnacentral:rRNA from 1 species